GACAGAGGUCCCGAGCGUUUAGGCGGAAUCACUGGGCUUAAAGCGUGUGUAGGCGGAUGCCUAAGUACCUUGUGAAAUCCCACGGCUCACCCGUGGAACUGCUUGGUAUACUGGGUGUCUUGAGCCACUUAGGGGCUACCGGAACAAAUGGUGGAGCGGUGAAAUGCGUAGAUAUCAUUUGGAACGCCAAUGGUGAAAACAGGUAGCUGGGAGUGUGCUGACGCUGAGACACGAAAGCCAGGGGAGCAAACGGG
rnacentral:rRNA from 1 species